rnacentral:rRNA from 1 species
UUAAGCUAAUAAGAGCGCAGGGAGAAUGCCUUGGCACCAGAAGCCGAAGAAGGACGCGGUUAACUGCGAUAAGCCAUGGGGAGCCGUAAACAGGCGCUAUAUCCAUGGAUCUCCGAAUGGGGCAACCCACUUAAGUGAAGCUUAAGUAACGUAUACUGAAUAAAAUAGGUAUACGUGGGGAACCGCCCGAACUGAAACAUCUAAGUAGGGCGAGGAAAAGAAAUCAACCGAGAUUCCGCAAGUAGUGGCGAGCGAACGCGGAAGAGGCCAAACCGAAGGUAGAAAUACCAUCGGGGUUCGGACGACAAACGGUAUUGUCAGAGUUUAGUCGAAUUGUGUGGGAAAGCAAACCAAAGAGGGUGAGAGUCCCGUAGACGAAAAACAAAGACAGCCAGUCGUAUCCAGAGUACCGCCGGACACGUGAAACCCGGUGGGAAGACGGGGGGACCACCCUCCAAGCCUAAAUACUAACUGGUGACCGAUAGAGUAACAGUACUGUGAAGGAAAGGUGAAAAGGACCCCGGGAGGGGAGUGAAAAAGAACCUGAAACCUUGUGCUUACAAGCACCGAGAGCCCGUCAAUGGGUGAUCGGGUACCUAUUGUAGAAUGGUCCGGCGAGUGAAUGUAGCCUGCAAGGUUAAUUACUUAAGGUAAGGAGCCGAAGUGAAAGCAAGCCUUAACAGGGCGUGAAGUAAGCUGCAUUCGACCCGAAACCGGGUGACCUAUCCAUGUCCAGGUUGAAGUGGAGGUAAAACUCCAUGGAGGACCGAACGCACGUCUGUUGAAAUAGCCGGCGAUGAGGUGUGGAUAGCGGAGAAAUUCCAAUCGAACCCGGAUAUAGCUGGUUCUCUCCGAAAUAGCUUUAGGGCUAGCCUCGUUUUAGAUUACCGGGGGUAAAGCACUGAAUGAACUAGGGGCCGAGAGGUUACCGAACUCUAUCAAACUAAGAAUACCGGAGAAUCGAUGAACGGGAGUCAGACUAUGGGAGAUAAGUUUCAUAGUCGAAAGGGAAAGAGCCCAGACCUACAUCUAAGGUCCCCAAAUAUGAUUAAGUGGAGAAGGAUGUGGGGUUGCACAGACAACCAGGAUGUUGGCUUAGAAGCAGCCACUCAUUAAAAGAGUGCGUAAUAGCUCACUGGUCGAGUGACCCUGCGCCGAAGAUUUAACGGGGCUAAAUCAUAUACCGAAGAUUAGGAUAUAUACAUUAGUAUAUAUGGUAGGAGAGCGUUCUUUAAGGGGUGAAGUCACAGCGGAAGCGGUGGUGGACUUUAAAGAAGUGAGAAUGCCGGAAUGAGUAGCGAGAAUUAUGUGAGAAUCAUAAUGGCCGAAAGCCUCAGGUUUUUGAAGGAAGGUUCGUCCGCUUCAAGUUAGCCGGGAGCUAAGGCGAGGCCGAAAGGCGUAGCCGAUGCACAUACGGUAGACAUUCCGUAGCUGCCAAAAGAUUUAAACUGAGGGACACUUACAAAGGGCAUAACCCGGGCGAUGGUAGACUCGGGCGAAAGGGAGCGCUUUAGUGCGCGAAGUAUGCAUGGAGUAAGGCGAGAAAAGCUCAGCGUAUAUCUGAGGCACCCGUACCGCAAACCGACACAGGUAGGUAGGAGGAGAACUCUAAGGCCAGCGGGAGAAGAGUUGUUAAGGAACUCGGCAAAUUGACCCCGUAACUUCGGGAAAAGGGGUGCCCCCUACGGGGGGCCGCAGUGAAUAGGCCCAGGCAACUGUUUAUCAAAAACACAGGUCUCUGCUAAAUCGAAAGAUGAAGUAUAGGGGCUGACGCCUGCCCGGUGCUGGAAGGUUAAGAGGAGGAGUGCAAGCUCCGAAUCGAAGCCCCAGUAAACGGCGGCCGUAACUAUAACGGUCCUAAGGUAGCGAAAUUCCUUGUCGGGUAAGUUCCGACCUGCACGAAUGGCGUAAUGAUCUGGGCACUGUCUCAACAGCUCACCCGGCGAAAUUGUAGUACCGGUGAAGAUGCCGGUUACCCGCGACAAGACGGAAA